rnacentral:tRNA from 1 species
GGGGAUUUAGCUCAGUGGUAGAGCGCUUGCCUAGCAAGCCAAGGCGCUGGGUUCGGUCCCCAGCUCCA